rnacentral:tRNA from 1 species
CGCGGGGUAGAGCAGUUGGUAGCUCGUCGGGCUCAUAACCCGGAGGUCGCAGGUUCAAGUCCUGUCCCCGCUA